rnacentral:rRNA from 1 species
GAUGAACGCUAGCUACAGGCUUAACACAUGCAAGUCGAGGGGUAACGAGAGGAAAGCUUGCUUUCCUUGUCGACGACUGGCGCACGGGUGAGUAACGCGUAUCCAACCUGCCCCCAACUAGGGAAUAACCUUGCGAAAGUAAGACUAAUACCCUAUAAUUUCCUCAGAUGUCAUCUGACGAGGAAUAAAGAUUUAUCGGUUGUGGAUGGGGAUGCGUCUGAUUAGCUUGUUGGCGGGGUAACGGCCCACCAAGGCAACGAUCAGUAGGGGUUCUGAGAGGAAGGUCCCCCACAUUGGAACUGAGACACGGUCCAAACUCCUACGGGAGACAGCAGUGAGGAAUAUUGGUCAAUGGGCGGAAGCCUGAACCAGCCAAGUAGCGUGCAGGAUGACGGCCCUAUGGGUUGUAAACUGCUUUUAUACAGGAAUAAAGUUAGCCACGUGUGGUUAUUUGUAGGUACUGUAUGAGUAAGGACCGGCUAAUUCCGUGCCAGCCGCCGCGGUAA